UACGAAGGGUGCAAGCGUUACUCGGAAUUACUGGGCGUAAAGGGUGCGUAGGUGGUUGUUUAAGUCUGCUGUGAAAGCCCCGGGCUCAACCUGGGAAUGGCAGUGGAUACUGGACAGCUAGAGUGCGUGAGGGGUGACCGGAACGAGUGGUGUAGCGGUGAAAUGCGUAGAGAUCACUCGGAAGGCCAAAGGCGAAGGCAGGUCACUGGUGCGCAACUGACGCUGAGGCACGAAAGCGUGGGGAGCAAACAGG
rnacentral:rRNA from 1 species